rnacentral:lncRNA from 1 species
CAUAAUGUAUUGAUCUUGCUCCAAAAAUGUUAAAAGUUAAUAAUAACUUCACAAAAAUCCUAAGUACUAAUAUCUUUGUCCUGGAUCUCGAAGAAACUCCUUCAACAAACAAUUGAAAGAAAUGUUUACAACCUAGAAUUGGUGGGGUGUGCCAAGCCAAGGUAGUAGUGCAACACCUAGGCGACGUUUAAAGGUCCUGAUAGCAAGCUACCGUGAUGGACCUUCCCCUCAUAUUCUUCUGUUGUGAACACUAUUGAAAACUAAUAAGAAACACAAAUUAUUUUUCACGAAUCUUUAAAGAUUUGUCGAUUCAUAACACAAAUUAAAUCUUUUGAUACUCUAGAGAUUUGAGAAUGACCUUUUAUAAUUCCCAAAUAAUUGAUAAGUGAGAAUGUAAAGUAAGCUUUUACAACUAAAUUUAGUGGGGGUGCGUCAAGCCAAGACAGUAGUGCAAUGCCAGAGGACGCUUGAAGGUCCUGAAUCCCAAUAGCAAGCUACCGUAUGGACAUCCCCUAAAAAAUAGAGUCAGUAUAAUGUAAUAUACUGAUAUGAACAGAUACUACACUUGAUCUUACAUUAGAGGUGGUACUUUGCGAUUAUGUAGAUAAAAUGGUAUUUUUAAGACAUCAAACACCAGUGGUCUAGUGGUAGAACAAUACCCUGCCACUGUACAGUCCUGGGUUCGACUAUCUGAGUGCUGUGAAGAUAAAUUGUGCAGUCAGUGAGAACUUUGGGUGCUCACCUUGUGUCUGAUAUUAGACGACAAAACCAUAUAUAGGUUCACCAUUUAUCUUUAGGUGUAGCACAGUUACAAAUUAGAAGGGACAAAUUGUGUACUGUUAUGAAAAAAAAGGUUUUUAGAACUAGAAUUGGUGGGGUGAGCCAGGCCAAGGCAGUAGUGCAACACCAGGGCGACUAUUGAAGGUCCCGAUAGCAAGCUACCGUGGUGAACCUCCCCCUUAAAAAAUAGAGUUAAUAUCGUGUGAGUCAAUGACUCACAUAUCAGAUAUUAAACUGAUAAGAACAGAUACUACACUUGAUCUUAGCCAAAAGGCCGAGAAAGGUAUGCUUUUCCAUGUGUUAUGCCGGGAUAUUUUAUAUGUCACUUGUUAAAUUAAAUAUCUCUUUCUAGGCAGUGUGGGAUAAAAAUGUGUUUCUGGAAAAUUAGAAGGACUCUAAGAAGUUCAUCUAUCAAAAUUAAGGCCAUGGAAACAAAGUUUUUGAGUUAUUUUUUGAUUCGUCGAUGGAUUUUCUUUAUUUAUUGAUAAAAAUCACCAGUGAUUAAGUUCAAUAUCUUCCAAGAGGAAAAGUAUCAAGUGAUUUCUUUUCAUUUUCUUAUGUUUUUGGUGAACUCGAUUAUCCAUAUCUACGUGGUUGGUAGAGUUUCAUGAUGGUGGAAUGGACUGAAAACCACCAAUAUCUCUAGUUUGUUUCAUUGUACAAAUGAUUUAGUUUGGAAUUUUUUUUGGUAAAGAUGGAAUAAAAUUGAUGUUGAUAAUUUAUAUGCAAAAUCCAACUAAUUCAGGAUUGAGGCAUCAUUGCAAUGGUUGAAUUGCUAUUUUUGUAUUAUAGUUGUACUGCAUUUCUUUGAAAGGUAAAAAACAAUAUGAUGUCCCAGACUGAUCUUAUCUGCAUCAAUUUCAGGAUCUAAAUAGGAUAGAAAAUUCUAAAACUGUCAGUAGCAUUACAUGUGAAAGAGAAUUUAGUCUUCUUUGUUCUAAUAUGGACUUAAGUUUGGAACCUUCUAUCUCAGGAGGCAGUUACAACCAGUGUUUUAAAGGGCGGGGCAUGAGGCGAGACGUAAGCCCCGAGACAUAGGGAGUAAGUCCCAUGGAUCUACGGGGCAUAGUCUCAUUUAUUCAAUUUUAUAAUUUUAUUACUAAGAAAAUAAGCAAAAGUAAAAUUAAACUUUCAAUUAUUUUACAAGUAAUUUUUAUAAAUAACCUAUAAUAUAUAGAAAAAUUAUUAUGAUUUUUAUUUGAGAUAGAUAUUAAUAAGCAAUAAUGAAGAAAAAAAGUAUAAUAAUUACUAUUUUAGAAAUAUCACUACACCAAUAAUAAAAAAAAUAUGAUUUAAAGCAAAAAAAAAAAAGAAUAAUUAAAAACACUCAGGGCAAACGUUUUUAUGCCCAAAACUUUGGGUUUUAUGCUUAGUGCUUACUCCCCAAAUUCUAGGACUUAUCAAUUUGCGCCCAAGCAUUUUUGGUACGUCCCGCCCUGAGACUCGCCCAACAACCGUUUUUGAAAACACUGAUUACAACUCUUUAGAUAGCUAUAGAAGUUUAACUACUGAUGGUAACAAUACUGAUAUUUAGUUUCUUUCUAUUUUUUCUCUGCCAUUUCAGAUUGUGAUGAUAUCAGUAUACUUCCAUUUUUUCCUUAAAAAAAUAUUAAUUAUAUCUUGAUUGAUGAAACUUAUGAUUAAGGGAGCAAGAAUCAUUUUGUUUGAUGGAUCUCACGAAAUCAUGAAUUGAAAAACCUACAUGAGGACCCAUUUGGUAGAAGGUGAUGAAGAGUUGUUGGACUCAACCUCUUUUGUUUCUCUUGUUGAUGCUGGUGAAAAGGAUUCAACUACUAAAUCGACUUUCACAAAUUUCAAUGAAUCACUUUAUUGAAAGUUUAAAUAUAGUAGAGAUACAAUUAGAAGCCCAGACUUGGUAACGGGAAGAUUUAUGUUGAGUGAGACUCAUAAUAUUAUUGUUCUUGAUCUCUUUGAUCAGCUAGAGAAUCAGAAGGCUCGAACUGAUAAUGCAGAAGAGCAUCUGAAGAUUAGGAGAAAAGUAUUCUUUGAUUCGGUAGUUGAAUGUCUGGAAUUCAGUUGAUUGUAAACAGAGUUUUGGCAGAGGUCUUGAAGCUUGGGCAAAGUGGACAACCACUUCUUCCUUUUGAUCAAUGUUGUCCAUUUUGCCCAAGCUUCAAAACCUCGGCCAAAACUCUGUUUACAUCUAAAUUCUAGACAUUCAACCACCUAAUCAAACAACACUUUUUUCCUAAUCUUCACAUGCUCUUUUGUAUUUUUUUAAAUUCAAGCCUUCUGAUUCUCUUAGUGGUAAAAGAGAUCACAAGCAAUAAUACUCUGAGCCUCACUCAACCCAAAUCCUGCCAUUACCAAGUCUAAGCUUCUAAUAUAUCUCUAAUAUAUCUAAAAUUACAAUAAGGUGAUUAAUUAAAAUUUGUGCGAGUCAAUUUAGUAGUUAAAUCAUUUUCACUAGGAUUAGCAAGAGAAACAUAAGAGGUUGAAUCUCACAACUCUGCAUCAGCUUCACCAAAUAGGUCCUCAUGUAGGUUUUCCAAUUUAUAAUUUCGUGAGUAUCACCAAAAAAACAGAUGAUACUUGCUCCCUGAAUAUUCAGUUUCCAUUAGUUAAGAUUUAAUUGAUAUAUUUUCAGGGGGAAGUGGAAGUAUAUUGGUAAUGACAACAUUCAGUUCUUCAUUCAAUGUAAUGACUUGACAACAUCUUUAAAUUCCAUGAGCAAUUACUACACCGAUCUUAUGAGAAAGUGUAUCACCUAAUUUUUAUGAAUCUCUUAUAAUUUUGAGUUAAACAAACCUUAUGAAAUGCCUUUUCUUUAACAUUUCUAUUAAGCAAAUUCAACUACCUUCUUCCUAUAAUUAAUUUAUUGAAGCAACGAUAUACAACCAAAUUAGAGAACAAUGACUAAAAAGGCAUAAAAACAAGUAGUCAAUAUAGGCGUAGAAAGAAAUUUGACGAAAGAGUGGACACUUAAACGAUCGAAUUCAACAUAUAUCAUCAUAAUCUUAAAUAGGAGAAAAAAAUAGAAUGAAGUUAAGUAUUAGUAUUAUUACCAUCAGUAGUUAUACUUUUGUAGCUAUCCAAAGAGUUGCAUUUGUCUCCUGAAAUAGAAGGUUCCAAACUUGAGAUCAGACUAGAACAAUGGAGUCUGUAUUCUUUUUCACACGUAAUGUUGCUGACAGUUUUAGGAUUUUCUACUCUAUUUUGGAUCCUGAAAUUGAUGCAGAUAAAAUUAGCCUAGCUAGUACAUUAUACUUUUUUUUUCCUUUUCUAAGAAAAUGCAGUAUAGUAAUAAUACAGAAAUAGGAAUUCAACAACUGCAAUAAUACCUCAAUCCUGAAUUAGUUGGAUUUUGCAUAUAAAAUCUCAACAUCAAUUUAAUUCCUUCUCCACCAUUUUUCCCAAUACUUAAUAAUUUGUAGUACACCUUCAAACAAAAAGCAGAGUCAGUUGAGAAACCAAACAAUGAAUAAGCCAGAUGGCUAAAAAAAUGAACCUUUAAAAACUGAUCUCAACAGCAACAACAAUAGCAACAGCAUCAAGGUGGGGAAUGUUAAUCCCCCAUAACCAAAGGGGGAAGAAGCUACCGUUGGGGAGCACAAGAGAGAACAUCUCCGCAGAGGCGAUGAGAACAAGGAGAAGAAGAGGCGGAGAGCACAAAUCAUAAAACCCUAUCAUUUAGGGUUCUUUUAUAUUCACCUGGUCUGACCACUUUUGGGCCGACCAGCUCUUUUUUUGGUAUAUUUAUGUGUGGAUCCAUUUAGGAGCCCAUAUUUUAUUAAAUAAAAUGGACCAUGAGUUCAGAUUUAAACUUUAAAAAAGGGAUAUUGGUAGUUUUCAAUGUCAAUUGUGGUUUUCGAUCCAUUCCACAACUAUACUUGAUUUGUUUGGUUUUAUCUAAAAAAAAUGUCAAUUCGAGAUCAAACCAACCCGACAUUCAACAAAUUUGGUUAUCAGGGAUGAAUAAUUUCAUCAUCUAUAAAUCAUAUUUCGUCACUAAAACUCUUGUGUGACGAAAAAAAUUUCAUCAAUCAGUUGUCACUAAACGUGUGUCACUAAAAGUUUACAAAGACGAUUUAGUGCUUCGUCACUAAAAUAUUAUAUUAACUACAAAAAGAAAAAUUGUCCCCAUAUGCAUAAACAUUCUGACGAAUUUAUUUGUCAUAAAAAGUGUAACUUUUUUGUAGUUAAUAGUAUGUUUUGUCACUAAAAAUAUUAUUAUUAGUGACAAAAUUAAAUCAUCACUAAUUUAUCAUGUUCAAUCAGUGACGACAUCAAAUGUCUCUAAAGCUAUAUGUAUUUCGUAGUUGAAAAAAUACAAUAUCGUCACUAAUGACUAUUUUAAUAUAUACAAAAAAAAUAUUUUGUCCUUAAUGUAUAAAUUAGGGACAAAUUUAUUAUUAUAAAAGAGGUUAAUAAUUUUGUGAUUAAAUAUAUCAUUUUUUCACUAAAAGUGUUGCUUUUAUCGACGACAUAUAUUGUCACUAAAUAUUAUCAUAAGUAAUUACAAUUACAAUUGUCACAAAAUAAAAAAAUAAUUCAUAUUCAAUAAAAGGGGGUACUAGGACAAUACAUUUUGUGUCACUGAAUGUAAUGAACUUGUGAUGAAUUAAUUUAAUUCAUGACAAAAAUAUUUUUCAUAAAAUUCACCCAUGAUCACACAAUAAAAAUAACUAAAAUUAUACUAAAUUAAUAAUAUCUCAUUACAAACUCCUUAAAUAAAAGUAAAAUAUGUCCAAUGACAAGAAAAUCUAACUAAAAUAUAUCAAAUAUUACUCCUAAACAAAGACAUAUAAGUAAAAAUUCUUUCCAAAAUAUCAAUAAUGUGGUAAUACAUAGCUGGUAAUCAAUCUUGAUUCAUUUCUCACCCUUUAUACCUGUACAAAGAGAGAGAAAAUAAAACAAAGAUUUAGAUUGAGAUGAUUAUACUAGAGUCAAAAGUAAAAUGUGUAACACAAUUUGUCUUUCAUAUGUUCUAAUACCCACUUUAAUAAGGCUUAUUUGAUGGAUUGUCCCUGAUAUUACAAUUCCAUAUAUAUAUAUAUAUAUAUAUUAGUAGUUUCCAAUUUACAAUAUAAAUUUUAUCAUUACAAGUUUAACAUAAGUGAAAGUUUAUGGAGUAUAUCAUCACAAACUAUACAUGGCAACAUAAACUCUAUCAUUCAUGAAGACUAUUAACUAUUAAAAUAUAAUGUAAUCUAUGUAGAAAUUCUCACAUUCGAAUCAAACAUGCGUGAAUUAAAGGAGAAAUUACAUAUAACUAGAAUUUAUAGCCUCAUCCAUUUUGUUGCAAAAAAAAGAAGUGAGAGUUCUAGAAAACAAAACUCAAGCAAUUUCUUAGAACAAAAUAGAAAAAGACCACCAAUUUAUAAAACAAAUUAAUGUGAUUAAGAAAUGACACAAAUGAAGCAAUCAAAAGGCUUUUUUAUCAUGAAGUUGACAGAUAAAUACUUGUAAGUCCAGAUCUUUUUUAUCUAGCUCAUUUAACUAAAAAUUGAAAUGUUAUGUCAGUGAAUUAGGUGCAUCUUGAUAUAUCGUGAGUUUACGGUAUUUCUAAUACAUUUCAUUUACCAGUUGUGUGUGUCUAGGACCUUUUUAUAUUGGUUUUUAUGUGUUUUUAUCAUGUUUUGCAGGAAAGAUGUACAGGCGCGGAAGUAUAGAGACAGCCGAAAGAAAUGCAGAAACAAGGGCAUUCACGGAGGUGAUCUACGGACCGUAGGUCCAUUCACGGUCCGUAUGUGAUGACCGUAGAUCAGCAGGCAUGGGUAUUGAGGACAAAUCAGGGAAAUCUGAUCAAGUGUGGAACCACGGUGUCCAUUGACGGUCCGUAGUUGUAUCUAUGGACCGUACUAUUGAUCCGUAGAGUGAUACUGCGAGGGUUCCAGUACCUGAUUUUUGAAGAUUCUAAGUGUGGAGCUACGGAGGGGAUUGACGGACCGUAGAUCGAUCUACGGUCCGUCAAUCCCCUCCGUAGCUCCACACUUAGAAUCUUCAAAAAAUCAGGUACUGGAACCCUCGCAGUAUCAAUCUACGGAUCAACAGUACGGUCCGUAGAUCAAUCUACGNNNNNNNNNNNNNNNNNNNNNNNNNNNNNNNNNNNNNNNNNNNNNNNNNNNNNNNNNNNNNNNNNNNNNNNNNNNNNNNNNNNNNNNNNNNNNNNNNNNNNNNNNNNNNNNNNNUGAAAGUUUAUGGAGUAUAUCAUCACAAACUACUCUACAUGGCAACAUAAACUCUAUCAUUCAUGAAAACUAUUAACUAUUAAAAUAUAAUGUAAUCUAUGUAGAAAUUCUCACAUUCGAAUCAAACAUGCGUGAAUUAAAGGAGAAAGUACAUAAAUGCCAUCAAUUUAUAAAACAAAUUAAUGUGAUUAAGAAAUGACACAAAUGAAGCAAUCAAAAGGCUCUUUUUUCAUGAAGUUGACAGAUAAAUACUAGUAAGUCUAAAUCUUUUUUUAUCUAGCUCAUUUAACUAAAAAUUGAAAUGUUAUGUCAGUUAAUUAGGUGCAUGUUAUCAACAAUGUAAUUCUCAUUCGCUAAAUACAAAAGCUCUAAAAUAAUUCAUGAAUGUGGCAAGUGAAUACAAUAGCCAAGAACUGAUAUUGCUAAGGCAAUGAAUUAAAGUCUCUUAAUUGAAACAAAUAUUUCUAACGUGCCUAAAACUCACCUAGUAUUAAAAGUACUUACUCUUAUUUUGGUGAAUUUUAGAGAACUAAUUUUUCAUUCCAUUAUUAAAUUAACUGAUACUAUUUUUAAAUAAAUUAAUCCUCAUAUCAAAGGAUUCAACUAAUUCAAAAUGGAGUAAAUUCAAGUUUAACAACAUAACCCAUUUGUUUGUUUGUUAGGUAAUCACAUUUAUUUAAAAAUAUGUAAAUUAAAAUAGGCAAUUGACAUGAACAUUAAGCUACAAUAAUGUCAUAAAAAUAGUGGCUUAGGCAUGACAAAAUUAAACAACUAUAACAACAACAACAAAAAUAAAAAAUUCUUACAUUAUAUAGGACUUCAUUCAUUAAAUAGAGAUAUAACACUUUAACCCAAUCUUCAUUUCAAUCGAAUUAUAAAUAAAACAAAAUUAUAGAAAAAUUUAUCACAUAAUUACAUCAAUUUCCAUAUAUAAAUUAAGAGAUUAGGUGAAGUUGAGUACCACAAAUGAAGAAAUAAAAAUCGCAAAGUCUUGAUCGAAACUCGAUUAAAACACUCAUAAUAUUUUUUUUUGGUGCGAGUGUAUUGUAUUUUUGUUUCCGUGUGUUGUUAUUGCUUUGCGUGUAUAUUGUUUUUUAUUUUUUUGGUUUGUGCUGAUCGUCCUUUUUUUGUUUGUUUGUGUAUUUUUGUGUGAUGGUAGUAUAGGAGUUUUUUUUCCUUUCGUUCCUUUUUGUCGUUUGCUGGGUUUGGGGUAGUGUAGGUGUGUGUUGCUGAUUCUUUUAGUUUUGGUUUAUUGUUGUGUUAAUACAGGUAAUGAUUGUGUGUGUGGGUAGAUGGUGGGUAAACUAUUAGGGUAGUGGGAGGAAAAUAGGAUGGUGUAGGUGUAGUAGUGGGGUAAGAGGUAGUUUAGGUGAGUUUUUAUUUAUUUAUUAAAUUUAUAUAAAAAAUUAUAAAAAUAUUAGCUAAUUAUUUUGAACUAAUGAAAAUAUAAGAAAAAAAAUUUAGUUAAUCUAAAAAUGUAAUUAAAGAAAAUAUUAAAAGAAAACAUAUAAAAAAAUUUAUAAUUUUUUAUAUCUUUUUAAAACAAUUGAAAAAAUAAAACUUACCUAACAAUGUGAUUCAAUUUUUUGUGCUUUUCAAAUAAUUUAAAAUAAACUUAAUAAAAUAAAAUUAAAAUUAAAAUAUUUGAUUGAAGUUGAAAUAAGACAAGUAAUUAUCGAUUAAUUAUUUGAGGUUCUUAAUUUAAACAAGACAAAAUAUUUCUUAAUUUAUACAAAGACAAAAUAUUUCUUAAGACAUAAAUUAAUUAAUAAUUAUACAUAAAUAUGAAGUUAACUAAUUUAGAGUUAUAUAUAUAUAGAGAGAGAGAGAGACACACACACAGUUAUAUAAUUAUUUCUAAAAACUUAAAAAACUAUUUAGUGAAUAGAUUUAAAAUAUUUUUGAAAUUUUCAAAAUAAUGAUUUCAAAUUGAAGAAGCUCGAUAAUUAAUACGAAUUGCAUAUGAUCAAAAUUGGGUGUCAACACUCGAGAUGAUUGAAAGGUGUCCUAUAUUAUAAUUGUAUAUAAUCAAUGUUUAUGCACACUUAUAAAGUGCAGGUACAUUAUUUAAAAAUUAUCUACAAUUGAUUUGUGUAUGAGUUGUUUAAUUAUGUAUAACAAUAUUAAAGUGUAUAUAAGCACCUUUUAUACACUAUUAUACACGUAUAUACAAGUCUAUACACUAUUUUAAAUUAAAAUAUUAUUCAGUAUAAUUAUAAAGUUACAUAAAAUUAAACUUUCGACUUUAUUAAAAGAAAUACUAAUACUCGAUUCACUUCGAUCGGUAAAUCAAAUUUUAAAAAAAUAUUGAUACCCACAACGAUAGUACUUUAUCAUAAUAUAUUCAAAAUCUUAGUUGGUUAAUUUCUUUCAUUUGUGCUUUCAUUUUUUUUAGUUUAUUUCAAUUUCGACACGAAUGAAAAAGGUAAUAGAAUCCAUGAAAUAUUUUGCAUCUUUGCAGUCUAAGUUUGUAAGUCGAUAAUAUCUCUAUAGAGUUGCUCUACGUAAAAGGAUCCACUACUAAUUAUGUAUGUAUUUUUAGAAAGAAGCAAAUAGAUUGACUUAGUUUGUACAGUUACCAACAAAAAAUAAAGGCAAAAGUACUCAUUACCCCCCCUGAACUUGAAGCUUUUUAUACGGUGUACACCUAAACUAAAUUCCGUUUUAAUUACCCCCCGAACUUUUUUAUUCCUUCGUCGCGUACACCUUUUUCGUCCACCUGGCGUAGUAAUUGACAACACACUCUACUAGGCGCGUGAGGAAGUGAUUUUUUGCCACAUCACAAAGCUACAACGGUAAAAAAACGUAAAAUCUCCAUUUUUCUUUAAUAUUUGGCAUAUUUUAAACGAAAAAUUGGGCAAAAUGUAAAUGAAAAUUAAAGGAAAGAAAGAUUAACACUUACUUGGUAAGAAUUUCAGACAAAUUUGAAAUUUAAUCGACCAACUUCACGUCUAGAAAAACCCAAAUCCAGAAGGAGUUCCGCGAAAUCAGCCCUUAUUCAAAAAUAACUUUUAAACAAUGAAUUUUAAAUUUAAGAAAUUUAAUUUUUUGCAAUAUUAACUUAUCCAGGUGGCUAUUAUUUAUCCAGGUGGAAAUCCACAUCACCACUUUUGCCAGCUGUUGCGCACGUGUAGUCACAAUAGGAGCAGGUGGACGAAAAAGGUGUACGCGACGGAGGAAUAAACAAGUUCAGGGGGGGUAAAUAAAACGGAAUUUAGUUUAGGUGUACACCUUAUAAAAAGUUUCAAGUUCAGGGGGGUAAUGAGUACUUUUGCCAAAAAUAAAACAUUCCCUUCUUUUGUGGUAACAAUUCAUAAUCAACGCGAUUUUUUUUUCCUUUUUUCAUAUAUAAUAAAUAAAAGAUUUGAUCUUAUUAUUUAAUUUCUCUACGUAAAAUGAAAUGAACAGAAUAAUAAAAUUGAUAUAUUUCAAAAUAAAAAUAAUCUUAAAAAUGGUGGAAAAUCUACCAUUUUAUAAAUUUCAGCUUCUAAGAAAUUAAAUAAAUUCCCGUUAAUAAAGUCGUUGGAGUACAAGAUUUGGAAUCAAAAUAUGCGAGUAAUUUUUUUUAAUUUUAUUCUAAUUGCAGGAAAUUCAUUUCUAUUAAAUAUAAAUAAAUUUCUCUCUACAACUAACGAGUAAUAACAUUUUUCUUUUUAUAAUAAAUUUUAGUAUUCUCAAGUCAUUAGUAGCAAUAAUAUAUUUCAUUUCAUCCUCCAUUGAAUAAAAAUUAGGACUUAUAUCUUCUUUUACCGUGAAUUUUAUUUUGAAUCAUUGAGGUAAGGUUCUUUUCUUAAGAGUAAUUUGAAGAAAAAGUAGUGGGAAAAAGAAACUACUGAAAAAUGGGUUAAAGACUUAAUUUCACGUAGACAUGAGUUGUAUUUGUAUAAAAAUAAUCAAGAGACCAUACAUGAUAAUUUUUUGAAUACUUAAAGGACUAAAACUAGCAAAUGCAUAGUCAAGGGACUAAAAAUGAUAAGUAUAUAAUUAAGGGACCAAACUUGAUAACAUUUUGAAUAGUUAAAGGACUAAAUAUGAUAAAUGUAUAGUUAUAGGACUAUUUUAUGCCUACUUCAAUAGUUGAGGGAUCAUUUAUGAAAUUCUCUAAUUAUGAACAAUCGUACCCAAAGAAAAUUUUGUAUAUAGCUAUGAACUUUUUUGUAGUAAUUAGUUGAAUUAUUCAACUACAAAUUCUAAGUCGUCGCUAUUUCAUACCUUACAUAUUUUGUGACAAUUUUUGUUGUCACUAAAUUGUAGGUUGAUUAGAGACAAUAAAAAUGAUUGUCACCAAUUGUUUAUAUUAUUAGUGACGAAAAUAAAUGUCACAGCUAAAUCUAAAAUUUUAUAGCUAAAACUUAGAAUAUUUAACUACAAGCUCUAAUUUGUCACUAUUGUAUCAACAUAUUUUUGAGACGAAAUUAAUUUGUGUCUAAAAAUUAAUUAAUUUUAAGACAAAAAUAAUUUGUCACAAAUUAAAAAAAUCAUUAGUGAUGAAAUAAUGUGUCACUGGUGACUUUAAAUUUGUGACUGACAAUACUCAAUAAAUGGCGCCAAUACAUUUUUUGGUGGGAAACUUUAGUGGGCAAAACUUUGCUACGAACUAUUAUGUUUCGUCACUAAAAGUAUCUUCCUUGUAUAUUUAAGCACGAAAAGUAAUUUUUGUCACUAAAAGUGAACAAUUAAUGAUGAUUUUUAUGUCGUAGCUAUAUAUCAUAUUUGUUGUAGUGAUUAUAUAUAUAAUUUUUUAAAUUAUAAUUUUUUAUACAUAAAUGUAUUUACUUUGUAUUAUUUUUAAAAAUAUUUCUUAUACUUUUUCAUAGUUUUUAUCUUUUAUCAUAUUAUUUCUAGUUUUUGAGACUUGAAUUUUGAAUGGUCCAAUAAAUAUUAUAUAGUCCAUAUAUAAUAAUGUCUUUAUCUUAUCUUUUGUGUGUGUGCGCGUGUGCGUGUGUGUGAAUUUUAGUUGAAAAUUUUAAAUACUUUUUGAGGGUUUCUUCUUACAUGAAAAGAAUAUAAAAUAAAAUAAUUAUAUUAUACCUUCCUAUAAAUGUGUAGAUGUAUAAUUUGGUUCCAUAGGAAAAAAACAUUUUUUUUUUACAUGUAAUCAUCUUUUUUAGAAAUGAAGGAACAUUCUUGUAAUUUAUAACGAUUUCAAAAUAAAUAACAUAAAUAUACAAUUUUCAAAGUAAACAAAAAGCAAUAGAAGAAGAAGAAAUAAAUAAAUAUACUUUGAAGAAUAGAUUAGAUAUAUAGAGUUUGUUUAUUAUAAUUAAUAUACUUUUAUUGUCAGUAAGUAAUGGUUACAAUUAAAUAGCGAGUAAUGUUUUAACCGUGGAAAUUUCUACGUACGUAUUUAUCCAUACAAUAUAUAUUUGACUACAUAUACAUACAUCAUCUUCUUAUUUUAAAUUUUUGUGAUAAGUCUAUCACUAAUUUAUAAUUUCCUUAGUAUAAAACAAACUAAUAUUAGUUAAUACUUUAUAUCAUUUAUUUGCGUAAUUAAAUUUGACUUUAUUCAUUUCGAUCUUUUUCACCCUUCUCUAACCAAAUAUGAAUCGUAAUUAUGUUUAAUGAAUUUAAUUUUGUAGAAAUAUAAUAACCAAUUAUUAUGGAGUCAUAUGAAAUUAAUACAACUUGAUCUUAUGAUGAAAAAGUAAGUUACGUCAUUUCUUUAUAAUAUCUAUAACAAUGAUCAUGUCUUAAUUAUUUUAAAUAAUAUAAAUAUUUCUUUUUUGGGUAUAUAAUUUUUUAAAGUUUUCACGCAUGCAUUUUUCUCGAUAGUUUUUAUAACUUACAUAGCAAACACCAAUAAAGAAUAUAUUUUAAUCAUUAAGAUUUAUUUCUUUUAAGCCAUAAAUUUUAAAUUUUAAAAUUUUAUUAGUAAUUAGCAGAUUUUUCAACAUAAUUAAGUUACUAAUUUGAACCAAGAGAAAAUAAUUAUAAAUUUAAAAUUUGAUUUAUACUUGAGAGCAGAAUUUCAACCAUAAUUAAGAUAAAUUCGUGAGGAAGUGAUAUCUCUUUAGGAUAUACUCUAGCAUUUUAAAAUACUAAUUUGAACUAAAAGAAAUUAUAAACUUACACCAAUCAGAAGUUGGUAUAAAAAUUAAACUUAAGAGACAUCAUAAAGACACACAAGAAAGAAAGAAAGAAAGGAAAAAGAAAGAAAUAAUACAAUACACAUAUCAUUACGACUUUAAUCGCUAAAAAUAGAAGGAAAAACAAAAUUAAUACAUAAUUGUGUAAGAUCUUGUUGAUAUUCAUUUCACAAGACUGUCAAUAUUCAUGAACUUUCCUCUUAAACAAAAGUAGAAAGACAUCACUCUUGUUGAUAUCCACUUCAAGUCUAUCACUAUGCAAAAUCUUUUUUCUUAUCAAAAGUAGUUUGACUCUAUGCCUUCUUCAUUUUGUUAUCCGUCAUUUUUUUCUGUUAAAAAUGUUGUGUAGCGUUAGUUGUUCACUAAAACUCUCUUCGCAUCACCAUUUAUCUUUAGUAGUAGUACAGUACAUCUUACUGGAAAAAAAAGGUGCCAAAUGCUAGGUUGAAACAUUAGUCUAAUUGUCAAGAUUUUAUAAGUUAUAGCUAAUAUUAGUUCAUAUCUGAUUUUAAUUAAAAAGUGCAACUUGGAAUGGCAUAGAGAGCUCUUACGUAUCAAGCUGCCCAAAAUUACGUACUUCUAUGAAAUCAAAGGUGUUUAGAACUAGAAUUGGUGGGGUGAGCCAGGUCGAGGCAGUAGUGCAACACCAAGGCGACUCAUGAAGGCCCCAAUAGCAAGCUACCAUGCUGAACCUUCCCCCUUAAAAAAUAGAGUUAAUAUCGUGUGAGUCGAUGACUCACAUAUCAGAUAUUAAACUGAUAAGAACAGAUACUACACUUGAUCUUAGCCAAAAGGCCGAGAAAGGUAUGAUUUUCCAUGUGUAAUCGGGGCUAUUUUAUUGGUUACUUGGUUACAUAAAAUUUCUCUUUCUAGGCAGUGUGGGACUAGAAGAGCUUCUAUAUAUUAAACUAGAAAUCAUCUUCUCUGGUUUUAUAUAUUAAACUUAUUCAAUUCCUUUAAUCGUCUAUAAUAAAAUUGAUCAAAGAGUAGUGAAUGAAACAAUUUACGUUUUUCCGACCCCACCCCACCCCAGGAGGAUCAAUAUUCAAUAGUAAUGUCACUUACCCUCCAACAUGACUCGAACCGUCAACCUAUAGGUUGAUAGUGAAGAAGCUCAACUACUUGAGCAAGCCUCAUAUAUCCUGCAACAAGUUGUCAAGAAAUGUAAAUUACAAUUUGUAGUUUACAUAACAUUUUCCACCAUAACGUAUCGAUCUUGCUCCAAAAAUAUUAAAGGUUAAUAAUAAUUUCACAAAAAUCCUAAGUACUAAUAUCUUUGUCCUGGAUCUCGAAGAAACUCCUUCAACAAACAAUUGAAAGAAAUGUUAACAACCUAGAAUUGGUGGGGUGCGCUAAGCCAAGGCAGUAGUGCAACACUUAGAUGACGCUUAAAGGUCGUGAUAGCAAGCUACCGUGAUGGACCUUCCCCUCAUAUUCCUCUGUUGUGAACAAUAUUGAAAACUAAUAAGAAACACAAAUUAUUUUUCACGAAUCUUUAAAGAUUUGUCAAUUCAUAACACAAAUUGAAUCUUUUGAUACUCUAGAGAUUUGAGAAUGACCUUUUAUAAUUCCCAAAAAAUUGAUAAGUGAGAAUGUAAAGUAAGCUUUUACAACUAAAUUUAGUGGGGGUGCGUCAAGUCAAGACAGUAGUGCAACGCCAGAGGACGCUUGAAGGUCCUGAAUCACAAUAGCAAGCAACCGUAUGGACAUCCCCUCAAAAAUAGAGUUAGUAUAAUGUAAUAUACUAAUAUGAACAGAUACUACACUUGAUCUAACAUUUGAGGUGGUACUUUGCGACUAUAUAGGUAAAAUGGUAUUUUUAAAACAUCAAGCGCCAGUGGUCUAGUUGUAGAAUAGUACCCUGCCACUGUACAGUCCCGGGUUCGAUUCCCGGCUGGUGCAUUAUCUGAGUGAGAACUUUGGGUGCUCACCUUGUGUCUGUUAUUAGACGACAAAAUAGAGCAUCUGAGCCUUUCUUUUUCCAUUAUUAUUUUUUAAUGUUGUUAGAGAUUACAAGAUGUGAAAUCGAAUUCGGUCCAAUUAUUAUUUGUGCUGAUUUAUUUUUAAAGUAUUUGUUAAAUGAGUUAUUUUUUUAUAUAAUAUUUAUUAAUAUGAAGAAAUUAUUAUAUAGAAGGGUAAAAUUGUCAAAUUUAAAUUAAUUUGUAUUUAUUUUAAAUAGGUUUAAAGAAUGGUUACAAGAAAAUGAAAAUAAGGGAGGUAGACGUAAUAUAUUAAACCACAGGGAAGGUGAGUGUUAUAGAGCGAAACCUGGAGGGAGGUCUCUGAAAUUAUCUCUAUCUAUUAUAAAUAACCUAUAAUAUUGUCACACCCCUUUUCGCACCGGCGGAUAGGGUUUUUCCAAUUUCAGUGACGGUAUUGAUUAAAAGAUUAUUUAAUUUAUUUUUCAGAGUCGCCACUUGGAAUUGAGUUAUGGUGUUCCAAGUCACCUUUUCUUUAAUCCCUAAUCAAAUGGAAAUGACUCUUUAUUUUGGUCUGCCAUAUAGAAAUUCGGGUAAGGAAUUAUGUUGACCGAGGGGAAGGUAUUAGGCAUCCCUCGAGUCCCGUGGUUCUAGUACGGUCGCUUUUAUUGACUUAUACUUAUCUUAAUUGUUUUUGGAUAAAUUGUGUCUAAGGACAUGGUUCGCUUGUAUUUUUUAGUGUUGAAUUUUAUUGAUCUUAAACCGGAUGCAUAACUGCAUUCUCGAUCUUGACAUUUAGAGACAUAAUUGUCUUCCCUUCUCGAGUGCAUCACACCUAAUAAUCUCAAUUUACACUUCUUGGUUUGAAUUAAUAACAAAUUAAUUAUUAAAACAAUUUAGUCAAGAUGCGUCACCACAUCCUUGAGUUUAUUUUUAAUUGUCUCAAUAAAGAUGUGCAACCGCAUUCUUAAUUGAAGCGAAUAUUUUCAAUAUACCUAAAAGUUCAUCUAAAGUUAAAGAAAAUAUUUGUUCCUUAUAAAAAAUAAUAAUCAAAUAACAUAAAACUAAUAUAAACUUUUAGAGUGCAUGAUAAAAUUUAGAUCAAUAUUACAUCUUUUUAUUUUUAUUUACUCUUAAAGUUAACGUCAAAAUUAAGCAUUACACGGGUAGCAAUUUCUUACUAAUCUAACAAAACAAUGACGAAUUACUAAAACAAAUCUUUUUUUUUUGUUUGAUAAAAUAAAAGCAACAAUAAUUUUUUAGCCUAAUAAUCUCUAUUUUUAUCCUUAUUGGCAUCUAAGUUAAAACAAGAACACAACCACAACCCGUUCAUUUUUAAGAAAUAACAACUAACAAAUAAAAAUAAAUAAAUCAAGAUAACCACCAAUUAAAACUAUCUCAAUUCAUUAAAUAGAGAUAUGCUUAACACUUAACUCAAUAUUCAAUCAAAUAAUGAAUAAAAAAAGGAAAACUUGUUAUAAAAUUACAUCAAAUUCCAUAAAUAAAUUAAUGAGAUAAGGUAAAGUUGAAUACCGCAAAUAAAAAAAAUAAGUACCGCAAGAUUUGACUGAAACUCGAUUGAAACACCCACAAAUCUUUUGUUGUUAUGGGUGGAUAUAUAGUGGAGUAAUCUAGUAUGGAUUUUGUUUUUCUGGGUGUGUAUGGUUUUUUCCUUUUUUCCUUCACAUUUUUUUUUGUGUAUGUCUUUGAAGAAAAAAUAUUUUGGUUGUUUGCAUCUUUAGUGCGUGUAUGUUGCCUUUUUUCUUUUUUUUUUUUUUUUUUUUUGGGGUUGUGUCGUGACUCGUGUGUGUAUUUUUUUUUUUGGUAUUGCUGAUUGUAGUAUGUAUAGGUGAGGGUGGAGUUGGGGUAGUGGGUAGAUGUGAGGGAGUGAUGGUGAGGUUUCGGGGUGAUGUGGGGUUGUGGGUGAGAGUAAGUGGGAGGUUAAUUUUAUUUAUUUUUCUUUAAUUAAAUAUAUGUAAAAAAAAAAGAAUAAUAAGAAUAUUAGUCAACAAAAAUUAAUCUAAAAUUAUAAUUAAAAAUACAAGAUUAUUUAUUAAACCUAAUUUAAAAUAAAACAUAUAUUAUUUUUUUUGUCAUUUUUUAUUAUAUUGCAAAAUAAAACUUAUCCUAAAAUCAAUUUUUUUUAAAAUAUUUUAAACUAAACUUAAAAAAAUAAGAUAAAAAUUAAAAUAUCUAAUUUAAAUAUAAAGAAACUUUUUUAACCAAUAAAAAAUGGUGUACAACUUUAAGUUCGGUCAAAAAUUACGUGUCUACAAAUAUAUAGAAAAAUUAUUAUGAUUUUUAUUUGAGAUAGAUAUUAAUAACCAAUAAUGAAGAAAAAAAAUAUUGUAAUUACUAUUUGAGAAAUGUCACUACACCAAUAAUAAAAAAAUAUGAUUUAAAGCAAAAAAAAGAUAAAAAAUAAUAAUUAAAAACACUUAGGGCAUACGUUUUUACGCCCAAAACUUAUGGUUUUAUGCUUAGUGCUUACUCCCCAAAUUCUAGGACUUAUCAAUUUGCGCGCGAAGCGUUUCUUUUACGCCCCGCUCUGAGACUCGCUCAAAAAACGUUUUUGAAAACACUGGUUACAACUCUUUAGAUAGCUGUAGAAGUUUAACUACUGAUGGUAAUAAUAUUGAUAUUUAGUUUCAUUCCUUUUUUUCUCUACCAUUCCAAAUUGUGAUGAUAUCAGUAUACUUCCAUUUUUCCCUUAAAAAUAUAUUAAUUAUAUCUUGAUUGAUGAAACUUAUGAUUAAGGGAGCAAGUAUCAUUUGUCUGAUGGAUCUCACGAAAUCAUGAAUUGAAAAACCUACAUGAGGACCCAUUUGGUAGAAGGUGAUGAAGAGUUGUUGGACUCAGCCUCUUCUGUUUCUCUUGUUGAUGCUGGUGAAAAUAAUUCAACUACUAAAUCGACUUUCACAAAUUUCAAUGAAUCACCUUACUAUAAGUUUAGAUAUAUUAGAGAUAUAGGGUGUGUUUGGUAUGAAGGAAAACAUUUUUCGGAAAAUGUUUUCCAAUUUUCUCAUGUUUGGUUGGGUUAAAUGUUUUCCAAAUCAACUCAUUUUCCUCAAAUUUAAGGAAAAUGACUUCCCUUCAAAACUUAAGGAAAACAUUUUCCAAACCUCUCUUCCAACUUCAAAUUACAAUUACUUUUUUGUUGAAAAAAUCAAUUUAUUUUGUCCCUACCCUCAAACCACCCCCCUCCCGCAAAAAAAUAAUAAUUUUAAAGCGUAUUUUUAAAUUCAAUUUUUUUACCCCACCUUCACCCCUACCCCCAUCCCCUCCCAAAAAAAAUAUUAAAAAUUAUUUUUAAAAGAUAUUUCUAAUUUCAAUUUUUUAUAUUUUUACCCCCCACCCACUACCCUCGUCCCCCCGUCCCCAUCAGCCCCCUAUCUGCCCCAAAACCUCCUUCAAAAAGAAAAAAAUUGAGUUUUUUUUNNNNNNNNNNNNNNNNNNNNNNNNNNNNNNNNNNNNNNNNNNNNNNNNNNNNNNNNNNNNNNNNNNNNNNNNNNNNNNNNNNNNNNNNNNNNNNNNNNNNNNNNNNNNNNNNNNNNNNNNNNNNNNNNNNNNNNNNNNNNNNNNNNNNNNNNNNNNNNNNNNNNNNNNNNNNNNNNNNNNNNNNNNNNNNNNNNNNNNNNNNNNNNNNNNNNNNNNNNNNNNNNNNNNNNNNNNNNNNNNNNNNNNNNNNNNNNNNNNNNNNNNNNNNNNNNNNNNNNNNNNNNNNNNNNNNNNNNNNNNNNNNNNNNNNNNNNNNNNNNNNNNNNNNNNNNNNNNNNNNNNNNNNNNNNNNNNNNNNNNNNNNNNNNNNNNNNNNNNNNNNNNNNNNNNNNNNNNNNNNNNNNNNNNNNNNNNNNNNNNNNNNNNNNNNNNNNNNNNNNNNNNNNNNNNNNNNNNNNNNNNNNNNNNNNNNNNNNNNNNNNNNNNNNNNNNNNNNNNNNNNNNNNNNNNNNNNNNNNNNNNNNNNNNNNNNNNNNNNNNNNNNNNNNNNNNNNNNNNNNNNNNNNNNNNNNNNNNNNNNNNNNNNNNNNNNNNNNNNNNNNNNNNNNNNNNNNNNNNNNNNNNNNNNNNNNNNNNNNNNNNNNNNNNNNNNNNNNNNNNNNNNNNNNNNNNNNNNNNNNNNNNNNNNNNNNUUUUUCACCCCUACCCUCGACCCCCCUCCCCACCCCCAAAAAAUAAUUUUAAGUUUGUUUUUCAAAAAUAUUUUCAAUUUCAAAAUUUAUUUUCUACUCUAGUUAAAAUAAAAGAUAUUUCUCAAAAAUCAUUCAUAAAUCAAACACUAAAAAUCUUUUUUGAAAAAUAUUUUCUACUCACCAACCAAACAUGAGAAAAUAAGUCAAAAAUCAACUUGUUUUCCAGGAAAACAAUUUCUAGGAAAACAUUUUCCUUCAUACCAAACACACCCAUAAUUAGAAGCCCAAACUUGGUAACAAGAAGAUCUAUGUUGAGUGAGACUCAUAGUAUUAUUGUUCUUGAUCUCUUUGACCAGUUGGAGAAUCAGAAGGCUCGAACUAAUAAUGCAGAAGAGCAACUGAAGAUUAGGAGAAGAGUAUUCUUUGAUUCGGUAGUUGAAUGUCUGAAAUUCAGUUGAUUGUAAACAGAGUUUUGGCAGAGGUUUUGAAGCUUGGGAUGAAAUGUGGACAACCAGUUCUUCCUUUUGAUCAAUGUUGUCCAUUUUUCCCAAGCGUCAAAACCUCUGCCAAAACUCUGUUUACAUCUGAAUUCCAGACAUUCAACCACCUAAUCAAACACCACUUUUCUCCUAAUCUUCACUUGCUCUUUUGUAUAUUUAUUAAUUCAAGCCUUCUGAUUCUCUAAGUGGUAAAAGAGAUCAAGAGCAAUAAUACUCUGAGACUCACUCAACACAAAUCCUGCCAUUACCAAGUCUAAACUUCUAAUAUAUCUCUAAUUUAUCUAAAAUUCCAAUAAAGUGAUUAAUUAAAAUUUGUGCAAGUCAAUGUAGUAGUUAAAUCAUUUUCACUAGGAUUAGCAAGAGAAACGGAAGAGGUUAAAUCUCACAACUCUGCAUCACCUUCCAACAAAUAGGUCCGCAUGUAGGUUUUCCAAUUUAUAAUUUCGUGAGAUUCACCAGACAAACAGAUGAUACUUGCUCCCCGAAUCUUAAGUUUCAUUAGUCAAGAUUUAAUUGAUAUAUUUUCAGGGGGAAAUGGAAGUAUAUUGGUAAUGACAACAUUUAGUUCUUCAUUCAAUGUAAUGACUUGACAACAUCUUUAAAGUCCAUGAGCAAUUACUACACUGAUCUUAUGAGAAAGUGUAUCACCUAAUUUUUAUGAAUCUCUUAUAAUUUUCAGUUAAACAAACUUAUGAAAUGCCUUUUCUUUAACAUUUCUAUUAAGCAAAUUCAACUACCUUCUUCCUAUAAUUAAUUUAUUGAAGCAAUGCUAUACAACCAAAUUAGAGAACAAUGACUAAAAAGGCAAAAAAACAAGUAGUCAAUAUAGGCGUAAAAAGAAAUUUGACGAAAGAGUGGAUACUUAAUCAAUCGAAUUCAACAUAUAUCAUCAUAAUCUUAAAUAGGAGAAAAAAUAGAAUGAAACUAAGUAUUAGUAUUAUUACCAUCAGUAGUUAAACUUUUGUAGCUAUCCAAAGAGUUGCAACUGUCUCCUGAAAUAGAAGGUUCCAAACUUGAGGUCAGACUAGAACAAGGGAGUCUGAAUUUUCUUACACACGUAAUGCUGCUGGCAUUUUUAGGAUUUUCUACUCUAUUUUGGAUCCUGAAAUUGAUGCAGAUAAAAUUAGCCUAGCUAGUUCAUUAUACUUUUUUUUUCCUUUCUAAGAAAAUGCAUUAUAGUAAUAAUACAGAAAUAGGAAUUCAAUAACUGCAAUAAUACCUCAAUCCUGAAUUGGUUGGAUUUUGCAUAUAAAAUCUCAACAUCAAUUUUAUUCCAUCUCCACCAUUUUUCCCAAUACUUAAUAAUUUGUAGUACAC